rnacentral:sRNA from 12 species
AAAGGACCGGCGUCCAAAUAAUGCCUCGCGCUAUUCCCUGUACGUCAAGCUGUGACCCUGAAAAGGGUAGCCUCGGAGCCUUUGCCCCUGCAGGAGUACGUGCACGGAAACUGUGGGGGU